UGGGGAAUAUUGCGCAAUGGGGGGAACCCUGACGCAGCCAUGCCGCGUGAAUGAAGAAGGCCUUAGGGUUGUAAAGUUCUUUCGGUAUUGAGGAAGGUUGAUGUGUUAAUAGCACAUCAAAUUGACGUUAAAUACAGAAGAAGCACCGGCUAACUCCGUGCCAGCAGCCGCGGUAAUACGGAGGGUGCGAGCGUUAAUCGGAAUAACUGGGCGUAAAGGGCACGCAGGCGGUUAUUUAAGUGAGGUGUGAAAGCCCCGGGCUUAACCUGGGAAUUGCAUUUCAGACUGGGUAACUAGAGUACUUUAGGGAGGGGUAGAAUUCCACGUGUAGCGGUGAAAUGCGUAGAGAUGUGGAGGAAUACCGAAGGCGAAGGCAGCCCCUUGGGAACGUACUGACGCUCAUGUGCGAAAGCGUGGGGAGCAAACAGGAUUAGAUACCCUGGUAGUCCACGCUGUAAACGCUGUCGAUUUGGGGGUUGGGGUUUAACUCUGGCGCCCGUAGCUAACGUGAUAAAUCGACCGCCUGGGGAGUACGGCCGCAAGGUUA
rnacentral:rRNA from 1 species